CGCAAGAUGCUCUAAUUCCCCCUCUUGAAGC
rnacentral:piRNA from 1 species